rnacentral:rRNA from 1 species
UACAGAGGGGGCAAGCGUUGUUCGGAAUUACUGGGCGUAAAGGGCGCGUAGGCGGCCCGCUAAGUCGAACGUGAAAUCCCCGAGCUCAACUCGGGAACUGCGUCCGAUACUGGCGGGCUUGAAUCCGGGAGAGGGAUGCGGAAUUCCAGGUGUGGCGGUGAAAUGCGUAGAUAUCUGGAGGAACACCGGUGGCGAAGGCGGCAUCCUGGACCGGCAUUGACGCUGAGGCGCGAAAGCCAGGGGAGCAAACGGG